GACUGCUAAUCCAUUGUGCUCUGCACGCGUGGGUUCGAAUCCCAUCCUCGUCGGGAAGGGCCCUCAAGGGCUUGUGUUGUCUUUCUCAAACGAGCAUAGUAGGGGAGGCCAUUUUAGGGACUACAUCACCAGUGUCCAGCUCCUUACCUUCCCUUUCUCGAUGAGUGGCUGUAUUUCCAUCUGGCUCUAUAGCGCAUCCUCUAUGUGACGAGGUGGCCGAGUGGUUAAGGCGAUGGACUGCUAAUCCAUUGUGCUCUGCACGCGUGGGUUCGAAUCCCAUCCUCGUCGUGAAGGGCCCUCAAGGGCUUGUGUUGUCUUUCUCAAACGAGCAUACGAGGCCAUUUUAGGGACUACAUCACCAGUGUCCAGCUCCUUCUCUUCCAUACCUUCCCUUUCUGGAUGAGUGGCUGUAUUUCCAUCUGGCUCUAUAGCGCAUCCUCUAUGUGACGAGGUGGCCGAGUGGUUAAGGCGAUGGACUGCUAAUCCAUUGUGCUCUGCACGCGUGGGUUCGAAUCCCAUCCUCGUCGUGAAGGGCCCUCAAGGGCUUGUGUUGUCUUUCUCAAACGAGCAUACAGAGGCCAUUUUAGGGACUACAUCACCAGUGUCCAGCUCCUUACCUUCCAUACCUUCCCUUUCUGGAUGAGUGGCUGUAUUUCCAUCUGGCUCUAUAGCGCAUCCUCUAUGUGACGAGGUGGCCGAGUGGUUAAGGCGAUGGACUGCUAAUCCAUUGUGCUCUGCACGCGUGGGUUCGAAUCCCAUCCUCGUCGUGAAGGGCCCUCAAGGGCUUGUGUUGUCUUUCUCAAACGAGCAUACAAGGCCAUUUUAGGGACUACAUCACCAGUGUCCAGCUCCUUACCUUCCCUUUCUGGAUGAGUGGCUGUAUUUCCAUCUGGCUCUAUAGCGCAUCCUCUAUGUGACGAGGUGGCCGAGUGGUUAAGGCGAUGGACUGCUAAUCCAUUGUGCUCUGCACGCGUGGGUUUGAAUCCCAUCCUCGUCGUGAAGGGCCCUCAAGGGCUUGUGUUGUCUUUCUCAAACGAGCAUACGAGGCCAUUUUAGGGACUACAUCACCAGUGUCCAGCUCCUUUCCUUCAUAUCCCUGCAUGGCCCUGGCAAAGGCUUUGAGGUGCUUGGGGUGCAUUGGCAGCCUGCCUGAAAGUUGGUGGUGCCCCCACCGUCCCUGUGCUUCCCUUGGCCAGGAAGGCCAGCGCCAGCUCGGUCUUGUACAACUCAUACUUACCUGGCAGGGGCGAUACAAUGAUCAAGAAGGUUGUUUGCCCAGGGCGAGGCUCGGCCAUUGCACUCCGGUCGUGCUGACCCCUGCGAAUUCCUCAAAUGUAGGAAUCUCGACUGCACAAUUUCUGGUAGUGGGGAACUGCGUUCGCGCUCUCCCCUGACGUGAUGGUUUAAUGACAGACUAAAGUGCCGGCUUUGACUCGAGCUGACUGUAUCCUUCAUAUCCCUGCAUGGCCCUGGCAAAGGCUUUGAGGUGCAUUGGCAGCCUGCCUGAAAGUUUUUUUUUUUUUUUUUAAACUGAUUUUGUGUGUGUUUGCUUGUUAGUUCAGUGUCCAGAAGCCACGCCUACGCAGUUAAAGUGCCUGCGACAGACAGACAGACAGACACACCGUGAGGGCCGCGCCCGGUGCCGUCCUAGCACCCGGGCCAGAGGCCAUGUGGAAGGCACGCUCGGGUUUCUCUUCAACUCGUACAAAUCUUUCGCCUUUUACUAAAGAUUUCCGUGGAGGGGAACACCCCCGAGUUUACGGUAUUUUUGGAAGCUCUGCUUCGGCGGAGCAUCGUCUGUCUAAAGUCAAGUUUGUUCCCUGUUCUCCUCUCUGUUCCUCUGGUUAGGUCCUCUCUGUUCCUCUGGCUUGUUCCGCCGUGCGUGGUGGUGGUUCCCCAAGGCAUGGCGAUGAGCUCCAGCAAGGACUAUUUGAAAUGUGGGGAGGCUGUUCAAAUAUAUUCAAGUGCACUCCAGCUGACUGUAUCCUUCAUAUCCCUGCAUGGCCCUGGCAAAGGCUUUGAGGUGCUUGGGGUGCAUUGGCAGCCUGCCUGAAAGUUGGUGGUGCCCCCACCGUCCCUGUGCUUCCCUUGGCCAGGAAGGCCGGCGCCAGCUCGGUCUUGUACAACUCAUACUUACCUGGCAGGGGCGAUACAAUGAUCAAGAAGGUUGUUUGCCCAGGGCGAGGCUCGGCCAUUGCACUCCGGUCGUGCUGACCCCUGCGAAUUCCUCAAAUGUAGGAAUCUCGACUGCACAAUUUCUGGUAGUGGGGAACUGCGUUCGCGCUCUCCCCUGACGUGAUGGUUUAAUGACAGACUAAAGUGCCGGCUUUGACUCGAGCUGACUGUAUCCUUCAUAUCCCUGCAUGGCCCUGGCAAAGGCUUUGAGGUGCAUUGGCAGCCUGCCUGAAAGUUUUUUUUUUUUUUUUUAAACUGAUUUUGUGUGUGUUUGCUUGUUAGUUCAGUGUCCAGAAGCCACGCCUACGCAGUUAAAGUGCCUGCGACAGACAGACAGACAGACACACCGUGAGGGCCGCGCCCGGUGCCGUCCUAGCACCCGGGCCAGAGGCCAUGUGGAAGGCACGCUCGGGUUUCUCUUCAACUCGUACAAAUCUUUCGCCUUUUACUAAAGAUUUCCGUGGAGGGGAACACCCCCGAGUUUACGGUAUUUUUGGAAGCUCUGCUUCGGCGGAGCAUCACCUGUCUGUCUAAAGUCAAGUUUGUUCCCUGUUCUCCUCUCUGUUCCUCUGGUUAGGUCCUCUCUGUUCCUCUGGCUUGUUCCGCCGUGCGUGGUGGUGGUUCCCCAAGGCAUGGCGAUGAGCUCCAGCAAGGACUAUUUGAAAUGUGGGGAGGCUGUUCAAAUAUAUUCAAGUGCACUCCAGCUGACUGUAUCCUUCAUAUCCCUGCAUGGCCCUGGCAAAGGCUUUGAGGUGCUUGGGGUGCAUUGGCAGCCUGCCUGAAAGUUGGUGGUGCCCCCACCGUCCCUGUGCUUCCCUUGGCCAGGAAGGCCGGCGCCAGCUCGGUCUUGUACAACUCAUACUUACCUGGCAGGGGCGAUACAAUGAUCAAGAAGGUUGUUUGCCCAGGGCGAGGCUCGGCCAUUGCACUCCGGUCGUGCUGACCCCUGCGAAUUCCUCAAAUGUAGGAAUCUCGACUGCACAAUUUCUGGUAGUGGGGAACUGCGUUCGCGCUCUCCCCUGACGUGAUGGUUUAAUGACAGACUAAAGUGCCGGCUUUGACUCGAGCUGACUGUAUCCUUCAUAUCCCUGCAUGGCCCUGGCAAAGGCUUUGAGGUGCAUUGGCAGCCUGCCUGAAAGUUUUUUUUUUUUUUUUUAAACUGAUUUUGUGUGUGUUUGCUUGUUAGUUCAGUGUCCAGAAGCCACGCCUACGCAGUUAAAGUGCCUGCGACAGACAGACAGACAGACACACCGUGAGGGCCGCGCCCGGUGCCGUCCUAGCACCCGGGCCAGAGGCCAUGUGGAAGGCACGCUCGGGUUUCUCUUCAACUCGUACAAAUCUUUCGCCUUUUACUAAAGAUUUCCGUGGAGGGGAACACCCCCGAGUUUACGGUAUUUUUGGAAGCUCUGCUUCGGCGGAGCAUCACCUGUCUGUCUAAAGUCAAGUUUGUUCCCUGUUCUCCUCUCUGUUCCUCUGGCUUGUUCCGCCGUGCGUGGUGGUGGUUCCCCAAGGCAUGGCGAUGAGCUCCAGCAAGGACUAUUUGAAAUGUGGGGAGGCUGUUCAAAUAUAUUCAAGUGCACUCCAGCUGACUGUAUCCUUCAUAUCCCUGCAUGGCCCUGGCAAAGGCUUUGAGGUGCUUGGGGUGCAUUGGCAGCCUGCCUGAAAGUUGGUGGUGCCCCCACCGUCCCUGUGCUUCCCUUGGCCAGGAAGGCCGGCGCCAGCUCGGUCUUGUACAACUCAUACUUACCUGGCAGGGGCGAUACAAUGAUCAAGAAGGUUGUUUGCCCAGGGCGAGGCUCGGCCAUUGCACUCCGGUCGUGCUGACCCCUGCGAAUUCCUCAAAUGUAGGAAUCUCGACUGCACAAUUUCUGGUAGUGGGGAACUGCGUUCGCGCUCUCCCCUGACGUGAUGGUUUAAUGACAGACUAAAGUGCCGGCUUUGACUCGAGCUGACUGUAUCCUUCAUAUCCCUGCAUGGCCCUGGCAAAGGCUUUGAGGUGCAUUGGCAGCCUGCCUGAAAGUUUUUUUUUUUUUUUUUAAACUGAUUUUGUGUGUGUUUGCUUGUUAGUUCAGUGUCCAGAAGCCACGCCUACGCAGUUAAAGUGCCUGCGACAGACAGACAGACAGACACACCGUGAGGGCCGCGCCCGGUGCCGUCCUAGCACCCGGGCCAGAGGCCAUGUGGAAGGCACGCUCGGGUUUCUCUUCAACUCGUACAAAUCUUUCGCCUUUUACUAAAGAUUUCCGUGGAGGGGAACACCCCCGAGUUUACGGUAUUUUUGGAAGCUCUGCUUC